rnacentral:sRNA from 1 species
UAGCCAAUAUUUCAGUCCAAGAACAACUCCAAGCUGGUCAUAUAGAGCCUACUUUUAGUCCCUGGAAUACUCCAGUUUUUGUGGUUAAGAAAAAAAAGAUCUUAGAGCAAUUAAUCACAUUAUGAAUCCUAAGGGAGCAUUACAGCCUGGGCUUCCUUCUCCUACAGCCAUCCCUUUUGAUUAUCAUUUAAUGGUAAUAGAUUUAAAAGAUUGUUUUUCCACUACACCCUUGCAUCCAGAUGAUUGUAAGAGAUUUGCUUUUAG